rnacentral:misc_RNA from 1 species
UACGUAGGUGGCAAGCGUUAUCCGGAUUUAUUGGGCGUAAAGCGCUCGCAGGCGGUCUUUUAAGUCUGAUGUGAAAGCCCACGGCUCAACCGUGGAGGGUCAUUGGAAACUGGAAGACUUGAGUGCAGAAGAGGAGAGUGGAAUUCCGCGUGUGGCGGUGAAAUGCGUAGAGAUGUGGAGGAACACCAGUGGCGAAGGCGACUUUCUGGUCUGUAACUGACGCUGAGGCGCGAAAGCGUGGGGAGCAAACAGG